GGCAAUAUCACAUUAAAACAUCAGUUCUUGUCCAAUCACUGAAGUUAAGCAAUGUCAAGCUUGGUUAAUACUUAGAUGAGUGACAGUUUGGGAAUACCAGGUGCUGUAAG